UUAACUCUCGUAUUGGUCCAGCAUUGCAAUGGAGUGCUUGCGACUCCCAAAGCACCCUUCCCAUCAAUACCACAAACGUAUUUGGGCGUUUGCUUUUACUUGGUUAUCCUGCUGAUGUCUGAUGUGAUCGGGAGCAGCUGUCGUGUCCAUAGAUCUGUGACAGUUGGUGUGACAAGUACAAAAGUGGGGGAGAAUCGGCAAAACAUCAUGAUGAUAUUGGUCUCCAGUCAUAUUCCCAAGGGACAACACCUAAAAAUCGUCUGUGGAGUCCACUGAGCUGAGCAUAGUGACAUUCGCCAAAGGCAACCGCUUGGUACAAGCAGUUCAUUCCAAGCCCAUGGGCGGAUUGCCUAACAAUUUCACUCAGUGUUUCUACAGACAUGGUUUCCAAAGGGUAUGUUACCAACAUGGAGGAUACUGAUAUCCAUCAAAUGGCGCCGUUGCACUUUAGACGGAACAACGACAAUCCUUGGAUGUACCGGAGAGUAUCGAAGGAUUUCCUUGGCCACUCAAUUGUUUCGAAGAACACUGGAAAUUGUCACUUGGCGAGCUUCCCUCAAUAUUCACGGUAUUCCAAUUAUGCCCCUUUCUACGUCUGCGAAGCCAGUUCAGAGUGAUCUAAACUUUAAAAGGAAAAAAGUGCUAACGGGAGACGCAGUGGACAAAAAAAGCAUGACACGUCCUGCGAGUACAGCCAUCCAAUCACCUAAAAACCUUGAAAUGUGCUUUGAAAUAUUGGGCCGCUCAUUCAUCAUCUUCAAAUGUUCCAGGGACAGUAGGAGCAUCAAUCAUGGACCCCAAAUCGCUUAUGUUAACCAGUGUGGUGUUCCAGAUUUGGGUCACGGGACCGCGAGAGUGCCAAUCAUUUGACGCACCUGCUACCCGCCCAACCUUUAAUCAGCGCCAAUUUCUCUUGACUUCAGACUCCUUCCCUUAAAGCCCAGCCUUUCCCUCCAAAUCGGCGAGCAUGGCGAGUGUGCCAACCAAGUAUGGAACACCCAGGAACAGUGUUGGAACAAAUCAUAGGGGCCUCACCUGACUUUUGGAACACCCAUUCCCAAGCUACUAUCCUUGGGGAGGCCUCCACUCUUUCAGCUGGGACUGCGAGCAUAAAGGCAUAGAUCCAGUCGACAGGGUAGAUUGGGCUAUUUUAUGCCUCGUCAUGACUUUGCCCAAACGAAGGAACCCACAGCCUAACCAAGUAGAUGAUCUACACACCUCGUCCCUUUCUGGAUUAUGGUAUGGUAGAAGAGAAUCAAGCCAGCGAAGUCAUCAAUCAUAAUUGCGCUUUAGCCAUGCAAACAAGCCAAGAAGGAUACACUUGAGGGGGGAGGGAGAAGAGCACCAAUACAGGAGGAUUCGGAAUUGCAGCUUACGUCAAUGGCAGAAGGGAGUACAACCGCCCCUUAAACAUGGGCUGGCUCGUCGGAAGAAGGGGAUGAAAAGGCCAAACUACUUGACCAGAUCCUAUAACAAGUUGCGAUUAUCAUUUUACCAGGGAACGAAUGCCCGCACCUCACUUGGCGUGUGAAUAUCCCCUGAAAUGGGGUAUAUCUGAUUGCCGCUUCCAUCAGCCUCAACAUAUUCAUGCAACGGCAAUUUGUCUUCAUUUGUGAGGCUCGGGAAGAAACGGGUUCUGGCACUAGGCUCUGAGAGAAUUGUCAUGGGGAUCAGACAAAGUGGAUCCAAACGACGCCUAGAAAAAAUCCAACAACUGUGAGAUCAGAGAGCUCAGCUUUGUGCAGUAGGAUGAAUAAUUUCGUUCUAUAUGGAGCGCCCCUUCUUUGGCCACCUUCAACCAAAUGUGGCAACCAAUGCAGACUCUGAUGCGAGGAUCUGAUGUUCCACUUGGUUUGUAAAAUGACGGACAGUUUGAACAAUAAGAUAUCGGCCAGAUCUGCCAGUUCUGAUCAAACGCAUGACCAGCCAAACGGGUCAGCUGAUGACUUGUUUAUUGUUUAUUAAACACAGAUAUAGAUAGAUAGAGGGGAAACGAUCAGACGUUCGCGUGCUAGAUUGUCUUUCGA